CGGAGAGUUUGAUCCUGGCUCAGGAUGAACGCUGGCGGCGUGCCUAAUACAUGCAAGUCGAACGCUUUGUGGUUCAACUGAUUUGAAGAGCUUGCUCAGAUAUGACGAUGGACAUUGCAAAGAGUGGCGAACGGGUGAGUAACACGUGGGAAACCUACCUCUUAGCAGGGGAUAACAUUUGGAAACAGAUGCUAAUACCGUAUAACAAUAGCAACCGCAUGGUUGCUACUUAAAAGAUGGUUCUGCUAUCACUAAGAGAUGGUCCCGCGGUGCAUUAGUUAGUUGGUGAGGUAAUGGCUCACCAAGACGAUGAUGCAUAGCCGAGUUGAGAGACUGAUCGGCCACAAUGGGACUGAGACACGGCCCAUACUCCUACGGGAGGCAGCAGUAGGGAAUCUUCCACAAUGGGCGAAAGCCUGAUGGAGCAACGCCGCGUGUGUGAUGAAGGGUUUCGGCUCGUAAAACACUGUUGUAAGAGAAGAAUGACAUUGAGAGUAACUGUUCAAUGUGUGACGGUAUCUUACCAGAAAGGAACGGCUAAAUACGUGCCAGCAGCCGCGGUAAUACGUAUGUUCCAAGCGUUAUCCGGAUUUAUUGGGCGUAAAGCGAGCGCAGACGGUUAUUUAAGUCUGAAGUGAAAGCCCUCAGCUCAACUGAGGAAUUGCUUUGGAAACUGGAUGACUUGAGUGCAGUAGAGGAAAGUGGAACUCCAUGUGUAGCGGUGAAAUGCGUAGAUAUAUGGAACAACACCAGUGGCGAAGGCGGCUUUCUGGACUGUAACUGACGUUGAGGCUCAAAAGUGUGGGUAGCAAACAGGAUUAAAUACCCUGGUAGUCCUCACCGUAAACCAUGAUUGCU
rnacentral:rRNA from 1 species